rfam:Clostridiales bacterium CHKCI006 isolate CHKC6 genome assembly, contig: {contig103}
UCUGGUAGUGAUAGCAUGAUGGACACACCUGUUCCCAUCCCGAACACAGAAGUUAAGCAUCAUCACGGCGACAAUAGUGCUACGGUGCGAAGAUAGCUAGCUGCCAGGU